AAGCAAUGUGUCUGAGUGACUGGAAGGGGUGGAGCCAGGAUCCACUCCUUCCAGACCUCAUGUAAGGGUUGGCAGGGGGGUUGUAAGGGUAUUUUGCUGGAAGUCUCUGUAUAGCUGAGGCAUUCUGAAGUGGCAGAAGUCCAAAUUUUGCAGUGCUCUUCCUUCAGAUGUUGGUUGAUGAGCCGGUGGAACAUGGUCAUUACUUCUGAACUGGAAAGCCAUGCAGCCCCCUGUUAGAAUAGUGAAAGGCAACUAUCAGGUCUCCCAGGAGCCUUCUCUUCACGAGGCUGAACAGCCCCAGCUCUCUCAGCCUGUCCUUGUAGGAGAGGAGUUCCAUUCCAUGGAUCAUUUUUGUGCCCCUCCUCUGGAUGCACUCCAGUAGGUCCAUGUCUCUCCUGUACUGAGAACUUCACAUCUGCAUGCCCUCCAGAAGUCUUCUGUUUGGAACAGAAAGUGGACCUCAAUUAUUCAGUCAAAUAUUUUAAAUCUAUAGGGACGAAUUCCUGCAUUCUUACUAGUAGUGUUUAGCUCCAAGAACUUACCUGUUCAAAGAUAUGCACAGAAGAUUGUGGAAUUUAUUUAAAUCCCCAGGACAACUACAAUAAAUGAAGCUGAACACUAUUAGCUAUAUUGAUGUUGUUGUUUUUAUUUUAUCUUAAUAUUUAA